rnacentral:lncRNA from 1 species
CAAGGAGUCAGCACACUGUGCUCCCCACGGCCCCAGGCUCGAUCGCGCACAGAUAAGAGAAACAGUAACCAUCUCCUCUGGCUGUUAAUAUGGAUCUGUUUCCGCAGAUACUGGGUUGUGGGGCCUAAUGAGACAAGCGAGCCGCUCUCCAAACCACUUCCCCGGCAGCUCCGACGUCAGCAGUGCACCUCUGACCUCUGCUCUGCUGCGCCCUGGACCACGUCCUCCCCCAUCCCACCCCUUGCCCUUUAUAGCGGGGCUGUGGUCAGCCUGUCCGGGUAUAGGGCUGGAGGGAACCAUUGCAGGGACGCUGAGGAACAGCCACAGAUGCUCAGAGACGCUCCAGUGCGGGGAGCGCGGGAGGGCGGGCGGCCACUCGCUGCUUGUUUCCCCCCGUUCUGUUCACUCUGCUGCAUGACGGCAGAUAACAGGGCCAUGAUUACAAAAUCAAUAAAUGGUCUCGAUGCUCUCAAUGCAGAAGAAAUGAAUAGAGGCGGAGCCUGGCCAUCUGGAGGGACAGAGCUUUCUGCCUCACCCCGUGGGGCCCCUGGGCUGUGCCUGCCCUGGCCCGGGUUUGAAGCCAGUAAUCAGAUCAGAUGGCACCGCCAGUUCUCAGAGGCCUGGCAGCCGACUCUGUGCUCUGUGCCAGGCGCCCUGACCAAACAGGACAGCUCCAAACUGUCAGAGGAAAGUAAAAGGGAAGCCAGCCCCUCCCUUGGCAGAAGGGCCGGCCCUGGAGCCUCUUUGUACGCCGGCUUUCCUCCGUGUUGUGGAUGUGCAUGCACACGCUCACCAAGCCCAGCACCAGGCUCCCAGCGGACAGGGCCCUCCCGCAGCCCGGCCGAAGGACGCUCAGGCGCGUGAGUGUGUGUGCAUCAUCGACACUAAUCUUCUUAGGAGCUGAUCACAAAGCGCGGCGCCCACCGAGCCUGGGGUCUCUGAACAGCACUGUCUUGCAGCCGGCUCCCCCAUGGAACCCUCUGGCGUGACCCCCUGUGUUCGCAGCCCCCCACCCCACCCCUGGGCACUCAGGUGGGUGGCAACCUUCUGACUUUCCGGCUCCCUUUGCAGCGAUUGCUCCUGGAGGACACGUUCA